GUAAAGAAGCUCCAAAAUAUCAUCCCAAAACCUCUCUCAAAGUUACCCUAGGGCUCAAGACAAAAUCCACAAGUCAGUAUGGUAAUUUCUCUCUUGGAAGAUAAAGAUCACCUAGUUAUUUCUCUACUUUAUUGUUUGGGGUAAAGAUGUUAUUUGAGUUUGAAGUAAAACUUAGUUGGACAAGUAUUCUUGCUGUCAAGAUUGAAAUACUAACAGGCUGAACCGACAUCGUGUGGUUAAGUAAACUACAAAGGUGCAGGUAGGCAAGUUGACGGUCCCCCUUCUUAGGAUUCUUGACCAGCAAGAGUUGACGUGCUCUACUUGAUCCGGAGUUACUUUUUGUUUUGGUAC